rnacentral:rRNA from 1 species
CGUCCUAUUGUUUCCUCGGCGGGCUUGCCUGCCGGUUGGACAAAACUAUAACCUUUUGA